rnacentral:rRNA from 1 species
AUUGAACGCUGGCGGCAGGCCUAACACAUGCCAGUCGAGCGGAUGAAGGGAGCUUGCUCCUGGAUUCAGCGGCGGACGGGUGAGUAAUGCCUAGGAAUCUGCCUGGUAGUGGGGGAUAACGUCCGGAAACGGGCGCUAAUACCGCAUACGUCCUGAGGGAGAAAGUGGGGGAUCUUCGGACCUCACGCUAUCAGAUGAGCCUAGGUCGGAUUAGCUAGUUGGUGGGGUAAAGGCCUACCAAGGCGACGAUCCGUAACUGGUCUGAGAGGAUGAUCAGUCACACUGGAACUGAGACACGGUCCAGACUCCUACGGGAGGCAGCAGUGGGGAAUAUUGGACAAUGGGCGAAAGCCUGAUCCAGCCAUGCCGCGUGUGUGAAGAAGGUCUUCGGAUUGUAGAGCACUUUAAGUUGGGAGGAAGGGCAGUAAGUUAAUACCUUGCUGUUUUGACGUUACCAACAGAAUAAGCACCGGCUAACUUCGUG